UGCCAGCAGCCGCGGUAAUACGGAGGGUGCGAGCGUUAAUCGGUAUCACUGGGCGUAAAGCGUGCGUAGGCGGCGCAGCAAGUCAGACGUGAAAGCCCUCGGCUCAACCGAGGAAUUGCGUUUGAAACUGCUGUGCUUGAGUCUCGGAGAGGUUGGCGGAAUUCCAGGUGUAGGAGUGAAAUCCGUAGAUAUCUGAGGAACACCGGUGGCGAAGGCGGCCAACUGGACGAGUACUGACGCUGAGGUACGAAAACGUGGGGACCAAAUAUUAUAAGACA
rnacentral:rRNA from 1 species